CACCCAGGCUGGAGUGCAGUGGUGCUAUCUUGGCUCACUGCAACCUCUGCCUCCUGGGUUCAAGUGAUUCUCAUGCCUCAGCCUCCAGAGUAGCUGGGACUACAGGCACACACCACCACACCCAGCUAAUUUUUUUUAUUUUUAGUAGAGACAAGGUUUCACUAUGUUGGCCAGGCUGGUCUUGAACUCCCAACCUCAAGUGAUCCAUCUGCCUCAUGAAUUUCUUAUGUAGAAGUCAGCCAGUAACUUGCCUUGUCUUAAAAACACCUUACAGGCUGGGCGCGGUGGCUCACGCCUGUAAUCCCAGCACUUUGGGAGGCUGAGGCAGACAGAUCACUUGAGGUCGGGAGUUCCAGACCAGCCUGGCCAACAUGGUGAAACCCAAUCUCUACUAAAAAUACAAAAAUUCACAGGGCGUGAUGGCAUGCACCUGUAGCACCAGCUACUCAGGAGGCUGAGGCAGGAGAAUCACUUGAACCUAAGAGGUGGAGGUUGCAGUGAGCCGAGAUUGCAUUGCUGCACUCCAGCCUGGGUGACAGAUUAAGACUCAGUCUCAAAACCAAACCAAACCCCAAAACACCUUACAGUGACUUACACUGUAGGGGUGGUCAUAAGAAAUCUUCAAGUGUUUAAGGAAACACCAUCAGUAGAUAACUGGGAGAACUAUGCAAAUGAGGCUACUCUAGAUUACUCAGAGGAUUUUCUCAGAGGGAUAGCUGACUUGUCAUGUAUAUAUGCACCUGCGCCAGUUAUUCCUACAAUGUGAGCCCGCCAAUUAAAAGAAUGAAACAAAAUUUUUCCUAACUUUAGCUGAAAUGAUCAGUGAUAUCAUAUUGGCUCUGGAAGGGAUUCAAAUCCACCUCACUUCACUGCUUAGGGUUGUUGAUUGAUAUAACUGCCCUAGAUUUCCUUCUUGCAGGCCAUGAUGAAAUAUGUGUAAAUGCUAAUACAUCUUGCUGUACUUGGAUAUAUUCCUUGGGCCAAGUGGAAAAAAUCAAUUCAUAAACAAUGCCAAGGAGGCAGCCGAAGUAGACCCUAAAGCUUUAUAAGAUUUGUUCAGCCGAUUGUGCCUGGAACCCUGGAAAACAUGGUUAUUAAUAUUGCAGGUUGGCCUUAUCUUGCUACCAGUAGUCUUGUUGACAAUAGCCUUAUUAAUGCUGUAUGAAACAAAUUGAAUAGAUUUGGUCUCAGCCUCUGGUGAAGAUUCAUCAGAGUGACUUAACAGUGUGGCAUACUCAUGGGAAAGUUUGCCAGAAGUCAAGAAAGUACAGAAACAAGGGGUGGAUGUUGAG
rnacentral:lncRNA from 1 species